UUUGCCUCUUAAAUGGGGGCUGGUAUGAAUGGCAAGACGGGAAUCUAGCUGUCUCUCCCUUAUAUCUUGAAGUUAAUAUUUCUGUGAAGAAGCAGGAAUGGGAUCGCAGGACGAGAAGACCCUAUCGAGCUUUAGUAGAAAUAAGAUAUAGCUUUGUCAAUAGUGUUUGUGUUGCUAAUUCAAUUGUUAGAAACAGUUCUUAUAGUUUUACUACUAAAAACAGUAGUGUUGUAUAUAUAAUACUUAGGUUGGGGCAACCGCGGAGAAUAAUUAUCCUCCGUUAAUUUUAUUGGAAAAACAAUUAUUUUCCAAUAUAGGAUUUAUUUAAAAAGUGAUCCACCUGCAGUGGUGAGCAAAAGAAUAAGUUACCGUAGGGAUAACAGCGUAAUUUUUUUGGAGAGUUC
rnacentral:rRNA from 1 species